CGUGUAUGAUGAAGGCCUUCGGGUGUAAAGUACUUUUGGCAGAGAAGAAAAGGUACUCUAAUACGAGGUACUGCUGACGGUAUCUGCAGAAUAAGCACCGGCUAACUACGUGCCAGCAGCCGCGGUAAUACGUAGGGUGCAAGCGUUAAUCGGAAUUACUGGGCGUAAAGCGUGUGUAGGCGGUUCGGAAAGAAAGAUGUGAAAUCCCAGGGCUCAACCUUGGAACUGCAUUUUUAACUGCCGAGCUAGAGUAUGUCAGAGGGGGGUAGAAUUCCACGUGUAGCAGUGAAAUGCGUAGAUAUGUGGAGGAAUACCGAUGGCGAAGGCAGCCCCCUGGGAUAAUACUGACGCUCAGACACGAAAGCGUGGGGAGCAAACAGGAUUAGAUACCCUGGUAGUCCACGCCCUAAACGAUGUCAACUAGCUGUUGGGGCCGUUAGGCCUUAGUAGCGCAGCUAACGCGUGAAGUUGACCGCCUGGGGAGUACGGUCGCAAGAUUAAAACUCAAAGGAAUUGACGGGGACCCGCACAAGCGGUGGAUGAUGUGGAUUAAUUCGAUGCAACGCGAAAAACCUUACCUACCCUUGACAUGUCUGGAAAGCCGAAGAGAUUUGGCCGUGCUCGCAAGAGAACCGGAACACAGGUGCUGCAUGGCUGUCGUCAGCUCGUGUCGUGAGAUGUUGGGUUAAGUCCCGCAACGAGCGCAACCCUUGUCAUUAGUUGCUACGCAAGAGCACUCUAAUGAGACUGCCGGUGACAAACCGGAGGAAGGUGGGGAUGACGUCAAGUCCUCAUGGCCCUUAUGGGUAGGGCUUCACACGUCAUACAAUGGUCGGGACAGAGGGUCGCCAACCCGCGAGGGGGAGCCAAUCUCAGAAACCCGAUCGUAGUCCGGAUCGCAGUCUGCAACUCGACUGCGUGAAGUCGGAAUCGCUAGUAAUCGCGGAUCAGAAUGUCGCGGUGAAUACGUUCCCGGGUCUUGUACACACCGCCCGUCACACCAUGGGAGUGGGUUUCACCAGAAGUAGGUAGCCUAACCGUAAGGAGGGCGCUACCACGUGAUCUGGGC
rnacentral:rRNA from 1 species